UUGCCUGGCGGCGACAGCGCGGUGGUCCCACCUGACCCCAUGCCGAACUCAGAAGUGAAACGCCGUAGCGCCGAUGGUAGUGUGGGGUCUCCCCAUGUGAGAGUAGGGAACUGCCAGGCAUC
rnacentral:rRNA from 1 species